rnacentral:rRNA from 1 species
UACACUCCUGCGGGAGGCAGCAGUGGGGAAUAUUGCACAAUGGGCGCAAGCCUGAUGCAGCCAUGCCGCGUGUAUGAAGAAGGCCUUCGGGUUGUAAAGUACUUUCAGCGGGGAGGAAGGCAAUACGGUUAAUAACCGUGUUGAUUGACGUUACCCGCAGAAGAAGCACCGGCUAACUCCGUGCCAGCAGCCGCGGUAAUACGGAGGGUGCAAGCGUUAAUCGGAAUUACUGGGCGUAAAGCGCACGCAGGCGGUCUGUCAAGUCGGAUGUGAAAUCCCCGGGCUCAACCUGGGAACUGCAUUCGAAACUGGCAGGCUUGAGUCUUGUAGAGGGGGGUAGAAUUCCAGGUGUAGCGGUGAAAUGCGUAGAGAUCUGGAGGAAUACCGGUGGCGAAGGCGGCCCCCUGGACAAAGACUGACGCUCAGGUGCGAAAGCGUGGGGAGCAAACAGGAUUAGAAACCCCUGUAGUCCCAUGAU